ACCUUACCUGGUCUCACAACACACUCCAGAUCACCAAGAAGGCCCAGCAGAGGCUGUACUUCCUAAGAAGGUUGAGGAAAUUUGGUUUGCAGACCAAGCUUUUUAUGAUUGACUGUAUACAAGGACUGGACACCUCCCAUGUUGACUCCUUUGAUUGGUGCACAGCUGCAGAGGAUAAAGCCGAUUGUCAACUGGCCGAAACUCCUGAUUGUCAUCCAUUCUCAUCUCUUGGCAACAUUUAAGCCCUGUUCCUGCAGGCCUUGGAUGCCAGUUCCUACAGUCAUUUGAGCUGGACCCCAGUAUCCACACAGUCGAGAUUGCCUGCUGCCUGGAUGUCGGAACACCGAACACCACACCGUUGGCCAGCUGGGUCCCUUAUAUUGAACUGAGAGCAUAUUCAAUAAACCUGUUGUUCAUCCAAUACCCCUGCUCUGUGGUUGCUUUUGGAU
ensembl:lncRNA